UCACAGCAUUAGAACAUCUGAACACUUCUGAACCAACCUGAGGGUAAAAUCAUAUUUUUUUUUAAAAUUUCUCAGUUGUUUUUUUUUUCUAGAAGAAAUAAUGCUUUUUAGUUUAACCGAGUACAAAACAAGUUGCUAUAGAUCGGUUUAGAGUAUAUCCCAUGCAAGUGUGUAUCUGUAGUUGUUGAGAAUGAACUACUCAGCCGGGCAGUACGGUAGAAAUUACGACAUUUAAGAACAUAAGCAACCAAGACAUUAGUCAUUACGAAAACAUUUACUGCGCUUGUUGUCCUGUCCAUGCUCCAUCUACGCUCAGUCUUACGGCAUGUCAAGUUAUGACCCAUACGACAGCUAUAAUGGGAUCGGACUCCUCACUGGGUCAAGACUUGGGCGCUCGGGUGGACUAUCCAGGCUUCCACUUAUUGGAACUAGACGUUUAGCAAGAGGUCGUUUGAUAGUAGGAACUCGUGGGCUCUCCAGACUAGGUCUAGGGAGAAGGUAUAGACCAGUCAGCCAACGGUAUAUUGAUACAAGUGAAAGCUACAUCCCGAGGAGACGAAUUUAUUCAACUUCAUAUGCGAUGUUAAGAAAUCCGGGACAGUGAAGAAUUCUACGCCCCAUUUAAAGAAUAUUAUGUGCCAAAUAUGUUUUCAGAUGAACAUUGUUUUUUGUUUUUGUUGUUUAAUUUUUGUUCUGUUUUGUUUUGUUUCUCACAUCACUCACUUUGUCAAUUUUCAUACUAAGACAAACAGGAAACAAAUAAUAAAAAAAUGACUUGAUAAACAAUGAUGUUUUAUUUCUUUUUGUAAAAUGCUUCUUCGUUCUAAAGCGUGUAUGUAUGUUCUUCAAACCAACAGUUUUUGUUUGGUUUAAUGUCGCACAGGUUUACACAGGAAGACCCCUCUGUCUAUCAGU